UGCAUAAGAUUCUUUACUUGCUCCGAAAAAAACAUUCACAAAAGAGUCUUGGCAGUGUUUAAUGGCCUCUCUGAUUCUUCUUGUCGGGAAGGCAUAAAAUGAUCCAGCUAAUAUAUUUUGGGCUGGUGCUGUUUUUAUUUUUUUCCUCAGAGUGGCGUUUUGUAGACUGUAGGCCAGCCUUUAUCAAGAAACCCAGCUGCAAUGGUAAAGUCUAUGUUGAUAAAGGCAACAACCAAUUUGCGUUAUCGUGGGACUUUAACACAGACGGAGAAACAGUUACCUGGGUGGACCUGAUGUACAAAAAGAGCGGUUCCUCACACGUGCUCAUUGCCAGAAAAAUUGGAAACCGACUCCAAGUCCCAAGAACCACUCAUUACUUUGGAAGGGUUAACGUUACAACAGAGAAAGCCACCUUUAUUAUAUGGUACAUUGUGCUGAAAGCGACCAAAGAACAUUUGAAUGCAAGGUUUACCUCUCAUCAGUAUCUAACCCCUGGAUAAUGAGUGCUGUAAAGCUAAUUGUAGUCGCUAAACCAAUUAUCACAUUUAGAACAACACAACCCCUCAUGCUGGACGAGGGAAACACCAGUACGUUGCUAUGUGUUGCCAGUGGCAAC